rnacentral:rRNA from 1 species
CCGAAACUUAAGGAAUUGACGGAAGGGCACCACCAGGAGUGGAAUCUGACGGCUUAAUUUGACCCAACGCGGGAAAACUCACCAGGUCAGGACACGGUAAGGAUUGACGGACUGAAGGCUCUUUCUCGAUUCCGUGGAAAGUGGUGCAUGGCCGUUUUUGGUUGGUGGAUCGAUCCGUCUGGUUAAUUCCGUUAACGAACGAGACCUCGGCACUCCGAAUAGCGCGGCGGACGUCGCGGCCUCCGGGCCGUCUUCCGCACGAGCUUCUUAGAGGGACCGUCCCCCGCCGGGGAAGGAGGUGCGAGGCAACGACAGGUCUGUGAUGCCCUUAGAUGUUCUGGGCCGCACGCGCAUUACACUGACGCGUCCAACGGGUGACUCCCGACCCGAAGGGGCCGGGGAAUCCGCAAGGCGCGUCGUGAUGGGGAUUGAACGUUGCAAUUGUUGUUCACGAACGAGGAAUUCCUAGUAGGCGCGGGUCAUCAACCCGCGCCGAUUACGUCCCUGC